UCCCAUUCCCAACUCUUUUUAUUUUGAUGUCCUUUUUCAUUUUUACAUCUUUAUGUUUAUUCUCUUGCAACUCGUUAUUGCAUUUCCAACUAUGGUUUUCCUGUUUCUAUAGCAUCCUGCUUCCUUUCUGUUUAGAAUAGAACUUUUUAAUGUCUCUGUUAGGUUCAAUAUUGCUGAGUUAUCUCACCUCCCCCUCCCCCCUUCCCCCCAGGCCUCUGAAUCCUCAGUCCAGGGAAGCUAAACCAUUCUAGCCUUCAUCGGUUCUGGGAAAGCAAUCUUCAGAGUGGGAAAAGACAUUGAAAAAUAAUAUUCUGUGAGUUGCAUUCUACCCUUGCCCAGAGAUGAGAAACAUCUGAAGGUGGAGGAAAACAGUUGGAGGGUUCACUUGGUGAUAAUAAUCAUAACCAAAGCAACAGCAAACCCUUACAGAACUCUGUCCUGCUGUUCCAGGAACGCUGUGUUCAUGACAACCCAAUGAGUUGGCACCACUAUGAGUUCCACUUUAAAGCAGUGCCUGCCACCCUGGCCUCCCUGCUCAUCUGCCUCAGUCAGGAGCACCUGGACCACCAGCUCUGUAUUGCCUCGCCUCCUACCAUCAAGACGUCAAAGUUCAUUCUCCUUCCACCACCCAGUAUGGUCAUUGUAGGGUCUUCUUCUCUGUCAGCCUGAGCCAGCCACCCCCCAUUCACCCUACCCCCGGGCUCAUACCCGGGCGUGUCUCCACCCAAGGUCCAGCCUCUCUCCUUUAAGUGCCCACCUCUAGCCGUCCAGCUUCUUCUCCACCAGCCUCCCUGGCCCUCCUUCACCCUCACUGGGGCAUCAUGCGCUGACUCCUCUGCUUUCCUGCCUGUCCACGUUCCUCUUACUUCCACUUCCCCACCUUCCAGCUCUGCAUCCACAGUCAGCACUCUCUUUAUGACAGACAAAACCCCCUUGAGCCUUGACCUUUUCAGUUCCUCACCAGGCCGACUUCCAUCUCGGUUCACCCAGCUCUACUUGUUCUGAGCCUGCAGGCAGCAGGCUCUCCCAGCACAGAUUUCCAAGACUACAAAUCAAUGCCCACCAUGUUGCCGCUGCCAGGCAAUCCUCCAGGAUUUCUCUAGUGAGCACAUUUCCCCACUUAUCACUCAGUGGUGUCAACAUUCUCUGCUCUCUGCACACCUCUAACCUUCCCUCUGUCUCUUCCCUGACUCCCAGCAGAUGGCCUUGCCUCCUGCUUCAGAGAGAAUGACAUGUCACUGGAAAGGAACUGGCUCACCUGCAGCAAACCUGCUCACCUCACCUUUUAUCUGUCCCUCUCCCACCUGGACUCUAGCUGUAGUUGUUCUUAAUUCAGUGAGUUUAGUUGACAUAUAUAUACACAGUUAAAAGCAUAGCACACUAUCGGCUACCUUCUAGGGGUUACUUUUUCAAUUUAACAUGGAGUGUGUGAUUCAUCCACUUCAUUGCAUGUACCUGCAGUUCAUUUGUUUUAACUGAUCUUAAAUGUUGUGUGUGUGAAAGUAACACAAGGCAAGGGUAAGCCAGGAUUCAGGAUGCUGGUUACUUCCUGUGAGAAAAGGCCAAGAGCAGGAUAGGGAAAGAGGACACAGUAUGUCACUGUCAAUAUUCCUGUUAUGAUGCUGGGUGAUAGGUUCAUAACUGUGUCUUAUAAUAUUAAUUUUAAUACAUAAAUACCUCUGACAGGCACCUAAGAUGAGAAUGUGUCAUGAACCAAGACAUACAAUGGGUAAUAUUACAUCAUUAUUGUUAUGUAAUCUUGUUAUAUUAUAUAUUAAUCAUAAUCUUACAUUAUUUGUUAUGGGUUAUAUAUUAUAUAGAUGCAUGAAUUAUAUAUUAUGUGUAUAAACACCUACAUAUGUAUUAUAUACUAUCUGCUAAUAAAUAAACAGAAGAUAAUAUGCUAGUA